rnacentral:rRNA from 1 species
GACGAACCGUCCAAACGUUAUUCGGAAUCACUGGGCUUGAAGGGUGCGUAGGCGGCCCUGAAAGUUGGGUGUGAAAUCCCUCGGCUCAACCGAGGAACUGCGCCCAAAACUACAGGGCUUGAGGGAGACAGAGGUGAGCGGAACUUGCGGUGGAGCGGUGAAAUGCGUUGAUAUCGCAAGGAACACCAGUGGCGAAAGCGGCUCACUGGGUCUUUUCUGACGCUGAGGCACGAAAGCUAGGGGAUCGAAGAGGAUUAGAUACCCUCGUAGUCCUAGCCGUAAACGAUGAGCACUAGGUCGAAGGGUUCUCCAUAGCCUUUUGGCCGUAGCGAAAGUGUUAAGUGCUCCGCCUGGGGAGUAUGGUCGCAAGGCUGAA